UACGUAGGGGGCUAGCGUUGUCCGGAAUCAUUGGGCGUAAAGCGCGUGUAGGCGGCCCGGUAAGUCCGCUGUGAAAGUCCAGGGCUCAACCCUGGGAUGCCGGUGGAUACUGGAGGGCUGGAGACACGUAGAGGCAAGCGGAAUUCCGGGUGUAGCGGUGGAAUGCGUAGAGAUCCGGAAGAACACCGGAGGCGAAGGCGGCUUGCUGGGCGUGAUCUGACGCUGAGGCGCGAAAGCGUGGGGAGCGAACAGG
rnacentral:rRNA from 1 species